CUAUUAGUUAUUUUGUGUUGAAACUUAUUUUCGAAAUAUCCCAGUUUUGCUUUCUGCUUUAGUUAGGGGGAAGCGGAGCACUACAGCCAAAGAACAAAAAUUUGAACAAUGUCACUUUACCACCCAUAGUGCCAAGGCUGUGAAUGGCACAGAUGUUCCUCAACCAAACAUGUUUAAAUAGCAGCUAUUUUGUGGUAUUAAGGAACAAUCAUUUAAGGGUCUUCUAACUUACUGUGGCUGAGUGCAAUUCAAAAACAUGAUAAGUGGGUUUAAAACAUCUGUGUGUAUUGCCUAAAAUGUUUCAGAUUCUAUUUACUACAUCAAUAUUGCUGUAGAUAUGAUACAUAAAACAACAUAAAGGUGAGUGAUAAUCUUUAUUUUAAGUCAACGAUAAUAGAAAAACAGGUAAUUCAUACCCUUAAUCAAAGAGAUGGUAAGUAACUGCUGAUAGCUAACCUUUCCCUAAAACAUUUUAGCAGGAUUUUAUUGAUUUUGUUUUCUUAACUUAUAUAUAUGUAUUUAUGGACCUUUGUUCUGUUUUUGCCAAUUUGUUAUUCAAAAAACCCCCCAAAAAACUGUUGCGUUGACCAAAGGGUGUCUCCGUCUUCUGUGGCUGAGCAAA